UCUCAGUUCGGAUUGCAGGCUGCAACCCGCCUGCAUGAAGUUGGAAUUGCUAGUAAUCGCGGAUCAGCAUGCCGCGGUGAAUACGUUCCCUGGCCUUGUACACACCGCCCGUCACACCAUGGGAGCCGGUAAUACCCGAAGUCCGUAGUCUAACCGCGAAGGGGGCGCGGCCGAAGGUGGGUCCGGUAAUUGGGGUGAAGUCGUAACAAGGUAGC
rnacentral:rRNA from 1 species